AUGCCGUGAUCUGGACAGACCAGGAUGUACUCCUGCAGCCUUUCCCAAGCUUCCGAGAUGGAUUCCAUCCCUGUCUGCUGAAAACUUGAUAUCUUCCGGCGU